rnacentral:rRNA from 1 species
CGGCAAUAGCUCAAAUUUGAAAGCUGGCCCCUUUGGGGUCCGCGUUGUAAUUUGUAGAGGAUGAUUCGGCGAGGGCUCCCGUCUAAGUCCCCUGGAACGGGGCGUCAUAGAGGGUGAGAAUCCCGUAUGUGAUGGGUUGCCUUAGCCAUGUGAAUCUCCUUCGACGAGUCGAGUUGUUUGGGAAUGCAGCUCUAAAUGGGAGGUAAAUUUCUUCUAAAGCUAAAUACCGGCCAGAGACCGAUAGCGCACAAGUAGAGUGAUCGAAAGAUGAAAAGCACUUUGGAAAGAGAGUUAAAAAGUACGUGAAAUUGUUGAAAGGGAAGCGCUUGCAGCCAGACUUGUCCGCAGUUGCUCAGCCGGUCUCCUGACCGGCGUACUCUUCUGCGGCCAGGCCAGCAUCAGUUCGGGCGGUCGGAUAAAGACCCCAGGAAUGUAGCUCCUCUCGGGGAGUGUUAUAGCCUGGGGUGGAAUGCGGCCAGCCUGGACUGAGGAUCUCGCUUCGGCUAGGAUGCUGGCGUAAUGGCUGUAAGCGGCCCGUCUUGAAACACGGACCAAGGAGUCUAACAUCUAUGCGAGUGUUUGGGUGUCAAACCCAUACGCGUAAUGAAAGUGAACGGAGGUGGGAACCCUCACGGGUGCACCAUCGACCGAUCCUGAUGUCUUCGGAUGGAUUUGAGUAAGAGCAUAGCUGUUGGGACCCGAAAGAUGGUGAACUAUGCCUGAAUAGGGUGAAGCCAGAGGAAACUCUGGUGGAGGCUCGCAGCGGUUCUGACGUGCAAAUCGA